rnacentral:rRNA from 1 species
GACGAACGCUGGCGGCGUGCUUAACACAUGCAAGUCGAACGGAAAGGCCCUGCUUUUGUGGGGUGCUUGAGUGGCGAACGGGUGAGUAACACGUGAGUAACCUGCCCUUGACUUUGGGAUAACUUCAGGAAACUGGGGCUAAUACCGGAUAGGAGCUUCUGCUGCAUGGUGGGGGUUGGAAAGUUUCGGCGGUUGGGGAUGGACUCGCGGCUUAUCAGCUUGUUGGUGGGGUAGUGGCUUACCAAGGCUUAGACGGGUAGCCGGCCUGAGAGGGUGACCGGCGACAUGGGGACUAAGAUAGGGCGCAGACUCCUACGGGAGGCAGCGGUGGGAAGUAUGACACAGUAAGCGGAAGCGUGAUGCAGCAACGCCGCGUGCGGGAUAACGGCCUUCGGGUUAUGAACCGCUUUCGCCUGUGACGAAGCGUGAGUGACGGUAAUGGGUAAAGAAGCACCGGCUAACUACGUG